GUAGAUGUAAAUGCCUUAAAUGAAAACCUGCAGACACUGGUGGAAGAAAACAAGCACCUCACAGAUCAAAUGGCUUCCUUUGGACUUUAGCAAGUCCCUGCUGAUUACCAUGGGGUGAAAUCCAUCCUUGAGAAGAACGAGGAGGAGCUGUCCCAAGCAGUGAAGGGCCGGGACGCUGCCCUGCAGGAGAGUCAGAGGUUGAAAGGGGACCUGGAGGCCUUGGAGAACAAGGAAAGCAAGAAGGUGGGAAACUUUCAGAGACAGUUGGCAGAGGGGAAAGAAGACAACUGCAAAGUUACAAUCAUGUUGGAAAAUGUGCUGGCUUCUCACAGUAAGAUGCAAGGAGCUCUGGAGAAAGCGCAGAUAGAGCUGGGGCGAAAGGAUUCCGAGAUCGCAGGCCUCAAGAAAGAAAGGGCCCUCAACCUGCAGCGGGUGCAGAAGCUGGAAGCCGAGGUGGACCAGUGGCAGGCCAGGAUGCUUGAUGUGGACGCCCAGCACAGCAGCGAGGUGGAGCCUCUACAGAAAUCUCUCAAUGCAGCUAGAGAAGACAACAGGAAGUUGGCCAUGAGCCUGGGGCAAGCUCUCCAGACAAAUAAUCAUCUGCAGACCAAGCUGGAUCGUGUUCAAGAAAAAUUGGAGAAGAAAGAACUUGAGUGGCAGAAUUUGGAAACCCUGAGAGAGAGGAUGACGGAGGAGUGCAGAGCGGAAGCGGAAAUGCAUGCUGAGCUCAUCGAAGCGCUAAGGAAGCAGUUCCAGACUGAGAGAGAUACUGCGAGGAAAGCGGCACAGCAGGAGCUUGCUGAGCUGAAGAAAGCCCUCCACGAAGCCAACUUCCGGUCAGUGGAAGUGUCCCGGAGCAAUCGAGAGCUGCGGCAGAAAAUCGCCGAGCUGGAGAAGACGCUGAGCAGUAGCCAGGAGAAGCUAAAGAGUCAGAAGGCCCAGAUAAAGCUUCACCUGUCAGCCAAGACAAGCAACGCUCAGAACGUGGAGAGGAUGAAGCAAAUAGAAGCAGAACUGAGGCAGAUGGAGCUGAUCAAGGAUCAGUAUGAGAAAAAAAACUACGAGCAGGUAGCGGGCCGUCACACACUUUACCCCCACCCCCGGGCCCCCCUCCCGGGCUCACGGCUGGCUCCCUGUCUGUCCCGGCCAGUCCCUGAGCAUCCAGAGGUUCAUGUCAGAAACGAGCCGUUUGCAGAAGGAGGUGCAGCUGCUGGCCAAGAGCCAGCACGAGACCGCAGCCCAGAGCAGACUGCAGGAGCUGCGGCUGGUGGCCGAGCGCAAGAUGAGGCAGCAGUUGGAAGGCCGGUGCCAGGAGCUGGAAGAAGCUGUGAGACACCUGAAGAAAUGUAA
rnacentral:lncRNA from 1 species